rnacentral:rRNA from 1 species
UGAGUACGAGCUGCUACGGCAGCGAAGUGGGUGAUGUCAUGCUUCCAAGAAAAGCCCUAUACCCGUUAAGGCAUGAUGGCCUGUACCCGAAACCGACACAGGUGGGGUGGUAGAGAAUACCGAGGGGCGCGAGGUAACUCUCUCUAAGGAACUCGGCAAAAUGGCCCCGUAACUUCGGGAGAAGGGGUGCCACCGCAAGGUGGUCGCAGUGAAGAGGCCCAGGCGACUGUUUACCAAAAACACAGGUCUCCGCUAAGUCGCAAGACGAUGUAUGGGGGCUGACGCCUGCCCAGUGCCGGAAGGUUAAGGAAGCUGGUCAGCGUAAGCGAAGCUAGCGACUGAAGCCCCGGUGAACGGCGGCCGUAACGAUAACGGUCCUAAGGUAGCGAAAUUCCUUGUCGGGUAAGUUCCGACCCGCACGAAAGGCGUAACGAUCUGGGCGCUGUCUCGGAGAGAGGCUCGGCGAAAUAGAAUUGUCUGUGAAGAUGCGGACUACGUGCACCCGGACAGAAAGACCCUAUGAAGCUUUACUGUAGCUUGGUAUUGUGCUCGGGCUCGGAAUGCGCAGGAUAGGUGGGAGGCUAUGAACCAUUGCUUGCGGGUGAUGGUGAGCCACUGGUGAGAUACCACUCUUUCCGAGCUAGAGUUCUAACAGCCACCCGUUAUCCGGGGGCUGGACAGUAUCAGGUGGGCAGUUUGACUGGGGCGGUCGCCUCCUAAAAGGUAACGGAGGCGCGCAAAGGUUUGCUCAGGCUGGUUGGAAAUCAGCCGACGAGUGUAAAAGCAGAAGCAAGCUUGACUGUGAGACCUACAAGUCGAACAGGGAGGAAACUCGGCUUUAGUGAUCCGACGGUUCUGCGUGGAAGGGCCGUCGCUCAACGGAUAAAAGUUACUCUAAGGAUAACAGGCUGAUCUCCCCCAAGAGUUCACAUCGACGGGGAGGUUUGGCACCUCGAUGUCGGCUCAUCGCAACCUGGGGCUGAAGUCGGUCCCAAGGGUUGGGCUGUUCGCCCAUUAAAGCGGUACGCGAGCUGGGUUCAGAACGUCGUGAGACAGUUCGGUCCAUAUCCGGUGCAUGCGCAGGAAUAUUGAGAGGAUUUCUCCCUAGUACGAGAGGACCGGGAGGAACGCACCUCUGGUGUACCAGUUAUCGUGCCAACGGUAAACGCUGGGUAGCCAUGUGCGGAGAGGAUAACCGCUGAAAGCAUCUAAGUGGGAAGCCCACCUCAAGAUGAGUAUUCCCAUGGGGUAACCCAGUAAGGUCACGGGAAGAACACCCGUUGAUAGGCUCUACGUGGAAGCGCAGUAAUGUGUGAAGCGGAGGAGUACUAAUAGACCGAGGGCUUGAC